rnacentral:lncRNA from 1 species
AGGGAAUCAGGAAGUCCAGAGCACUGAGGCAGGAGUGAGCCCGCAGGCUUCAGAAAGAUCAGUUAGUCCAGUCCAGCCCUGCUAGACAGUGCUGGAAGGAGAAGCAGCAGAAGAGGAGACUGGAAACUGGCAGGAUGGGCCACCACGGGCUCUGGCUCUUACUUAUGGGAGCUGCUGGGGCGCGGGAGCUGAGGAGCGCUGGUCUGGAAAGGCUCCCUCUGGCUGUGUGCAGAGAAAGGGCCGCACAGAUGGAAGGUGUGUACCACCGGGAUACUCCUGCCUCCCUCCGGGUGUGUACCUCAGUCCUACAAGGUGUUGCAAUGAUGCUCGCUUUGUGGAAGACAUCGUAACAUCGUAGAUCCUGAAGGUGAAGCACUGCUCUGAGACACAUGCCAGAAGCCAUUCACUCCUCACUUGCACGCUGGUGACCCUGCUCUUCUUGUGUAUGCAGAAGAGAAACUGUAGGCUGGCCCAGCUCAGAAUCUGGCACACCAAAAUAAACCUGACCUUAAAAACCUUCAUUCCCAUCUUCUACCUGCCUUCCCCUCCCCCCUCACACACUAAUCUACAUUCCAGUAAGAAAGAGGCCAGUCAGCCAGGGAUCCUAUGAGAGUCUGGGAGGGGUUGGACCUGAUGAUAUCCAGUCCAAGGAAGCUGGAAGAAAUUCGUGUGCAGCCGUGCCCAGGAAUAAACAUUCAGUAGCCAUUCGGUCCACAGGCUAAACCAGUUGUGUCCUCUGCGUGCCCUGGGUUUCAGUCACCUGCCUACGACCAACGGUGACCCCACCUAGCUCUUACCCUCCUUGAAGCUGACUUUCUCUGAGCUCAGAGUAAAUAGACUCAGCCCCUCCCAACAAUGGCAUGUCUCCAGUCCCCAGGCUGGGCCUGCAGAACUGGAAGAGACCUUUUCAGCCACUUUACCAACGUCCUUCUUUAGCUCAGUGGUUGGAUGCACUCAUAUCAGCAAAGGCUACCCGUCUGACCUACAGUUUUUAAUGUUGCAGAAGUCACUCGUCUGCAGCGGCAGAAUCCUCCAGGGCCUUACAGAAUCUCGGAUCCCUGGAGCCAGAAGCUGUUUACGGGUCCCUUAGUCAUUGUUUUGGCAUUUGCAGGUCCAAGUCCCCUGUUAUAAAGCAGAGUGGCCCCCCACAUCCUACCUGACAUUUUCUCCUGGCAAUACUUGUUUUAAAUUUUCUACUAAUUUUUUUUUUAAAAAGAAAUAAUAUAUCUUUAUCACGUUCUUCCCCUCCCCCAGCUUCCUGACCCUUCACACUAUCUUCCUACCCACCCAACUUCCCGUUCUUUCUCUCUUACCACCCUCCCCCACCCCA